GACGAACCGUGCGAACGUUGUUCGGAAUCACUGGGCUUAAAGGGCGCGUAGGCGGGCUAUCAAGUCUGGGGUGAAAUGCCACGGCUCAACCGUGGAACUGCCUUAGAUACUGACGGCCUCGAGGGAGAUAGGGGCAUGCGGAACUGUAGGUGGAGCGGUGAAAUGCGUUGAUAUCUACAGGAACUCCGGUGGCGAAAGCGGCGUGCUGGAUCUCUUCUGACGCUGAGGCUCGAAAGCUAGGGGAGCAAACGGG
rnacentral:rRNA from 1 species